UUUCCGUAGGUGAACCUGCGGAAGGAUCAUUAAAGAGUAAGGGUCUUCGGGCCCGAUCUCCAACCCUUUGUUUAACUAUCAUGUUGCUUUGGCGGGCCCGUCUCACGACCGCCGGAAGUUUGGCUUCGACCAAACUUCUGGCCCGUGCCCGUCAGUGGCCCCUUCAAAUUCUUGAUCAAGUAUGAUGUCUUAGUUAAAAACUUAAUAGUUAAAACUUUCAACAACGGAUCUCUUGGUUCUG
rnacentral:misc_RNA from 1 species